rnacentral:rRNA from 1 species
AGAGUUUGAUCAUGGCUCAGAUUGAACGCUGGCGGCAGGCCUAACACAUGCAAGUCGAGCGGUAGAGAGAAGCUUGCUUCUCUUGAGAGCGGCGGACGGGUGAGUAAUGCCUAGGAAUCUGCCUGGUAGUGGGGGAUAACGUUCGGAAACGGACGCUAAUACCGCAUACGUCCUACGGGAGAAAGCAGGGGACCUUCGGGCCUUGCGCUAUCAGAUGAGCCUAGGUCGGAUUAGCUAGUUGGUGAGGUAAUGGCUCACCAAGGCGACGAUCCGUAACUGGUCUGAGAGGAUGAUCAGUCACACUGGAACUGAGACACGGUCCAGACUCCUACGGGAGGCAGC